UACAGAGGGGGCAAGCGUUGUUCGGAAUUACUGGGCGUAAAGGGCGCGUAGGCGGCCUGUUAAGUCGAACGUGAAAUCCCCAGGCUCAACCUGGGAACUGCGUCUGAUACUGGAUGGCUUGAAUCCGGGAGAGGGAUGCAGAAUUCCAGGUGUAGCGGUGAAAUGCGUAGAUAUCUGGAGGAAUACCGGUGGCGAAGGCGGCAUCCUGGACCGGCAUUGACGCUGAGGAGCGAAAGCUAGGGGAGCAAACGGG
rnacentral:rRNA from 1 species